rnacentral:rRNA from 1 species
ACAGAGGAGGCAAGCGUUGUUCGGAAUCACUGGGCUUAAAGCGCGUGUAGGCGGCUCGGAAAGUGUCGUGUGAAAUCCAACGGCUCAACCGUUGAACUGCACGGCAAACUACCGGGCUUGAGGUCGGUAGAGGUGCCUGGAACUCUCGGUGGAGCGGUGCAAUGCGUAGAGAUCGAGAGGAACGCCAGAGGCGAAAGCGGGGCACUGGGCCGAAUCUGACGCUGAGACGCGAAAGCGUGGGGAGCAAACAG